rnacentral:rRNA from 1 species
AGCAGCCGCGGUAAUUCCAGCUCCAAUAGCGUAUAUUAAAGUUGUUGCAGUUAAAAAGCUCGUAGUUGAAUUUCGGGAUUCUACCGUUGGUCAGGCUAUUGUCUGUACUGGCGUGUAGAAUUUCUACCUUCUGAGGAACUAUCAUGUUAUUAAUUUAGCGUGGUAGGAAACCAGGACCUUUACCUUGAAAAAAUUAGAGUGUUCAAAGCAGGCUUAUGUCUGAAUACAUUAGCAUGGAAUAAUAAAAUAGGACGGUGGUCCUGUUUUGUUGGUUUCUGAAUCACCGUAAUGAUUAAUAGGGAUAGUUGGGGGCAGUUAGUAUUCAAUUGUCAGAGGUGAAAUUCUUGGAUUUAUUGAAGACUAACUACUGCGAAAGCAUUUGCCAAGGAUGUUUUCAUUAAUCAAGAACGAAGUUAGGGGAUCGAAGCGAUCAGAUACCGUCGUAGUCUUAACCAUAAACCUAUGCCGACUAGGGAUCGGACGAUGUUAACUUUCUUGACUUCGUUCGGCGCCUUACGGG